rnacentral:rRNA from 1 species
CGGAAGCUAAGCAGGGACGAGCUUGGUUAGUACAUGGAUGGGAGACCGCCUGGGAAUGCCAGGUGUUGUAGGCU